ACUCCCAGUCCCUCUCCUCCCUUGAUUUCGCCCAGCCUCCAUCUCUCUUUCCAGCCAUGGAUGCCGCCCCUCCCUGGCACCCUCAUCUCCACGGGAGCUCGCCCUAGCUCCAGCUUCAACCAUGGACGGCGACCUCUCCUGCCUAUAGCAGGUCAGCGCCCCAUCUCCUCAACAUCUCGGCUCCCUGUCCCAUCUCUCUCUCACGAGCCACUCUCCUCGUUCUCCAUGGCGUCGACAUGGGGCUCGCCCCUGCAACCUCGUCUCGCUGGGUCUCCUCAGGGCGCCGGGAUGCUGCUUCCUAUACAUCGUGCGACUUCCUGGUGCUUGCUCUCGUCCUAGGCCAUGGAGCAGCAGCAGUCACGACACUCCUUCGUGUCGCGCCCUUGACGUGAUCGAUGAAAUACCGCAGCGAGCUCCAACUCGAUCUGCACAGCCCCUGCGCGACGUCACAAACUCCGCUCGUUGUCGAUGUCGUGCUUCGUGCAUCGUGUGUUCGACGAAAAUCCCAAGUCCAUGGAUAGCACAUGCACAACUCAAAUCCGAUCGGCCAGGUUGUUUGAUGUGUAUUUUACUCAUUUGAUUUAGUUGAUGAUGUGUUUGUAUGUGUGGGGUGAUGAGAAAAAUAAAGGAGAUGCGUCGUUCGGUAGUAAGGAUUAAGUUAAAAUGUAGUUUAUGGUGUGAAGAGUGCGUCGAUAAAUAUGUAUGCCAUUGAGUGGUUAAAUGUUGUGUUGAUCGGCUAGAGGUCCUAUACAAGUGUCGUCGCUGUCCAAAAAUUUAUUUGGAAGCAAGUAGUGUCGAUGCUUCGAUUUCGGUUGAAGUCAGAGAAUAAUUCGAGGAGGUAUAUAUGCGAGUACUUUAAGUUCUUAGGUGUUCAAGUUGUACUGUAGAUUUCUAUGCUAUAUGCUGUUUAUUUAGGCGUCAAGCAAGUUAAUCUAAUAAGAUGAUUUAGAGAACGAGUCAAAUAAUGUGUAGGAGCUAAGUAUGAAUUAAAACAAGAUAGUUGAUAUUUUGUACUGCAUGUACUGUUCAUUAUCUCGCUUGUGUUAAAAUUUGACAGACAUAGGUCUAAUAGUUUAGGAGUUAUGAAUUUUCCAAGUCCAGUUUCAGAAUUUGUCCAAAUGUUGUACUGAUUUCGAAAAUUGCCCUGUUUGAAUAAAUUAAACUGAGAAUCAGCCCUUAGUAAUUAUAGAAGAAUUGUAGUACCUUUCUCAAGCUUUCCAACAAAUUUUGGAGCACCCUUUUUGGUGGUCUAGGGACCAAGUUACAGCUGUUUGAACUAUAGAGUCUGAAUCUGUCCAAAUCUGGACAGAGACGUCUGUUUGUAUUAACUGACUUUGAUAUGUAUUGAAUUAACAUGAAAUAUUUAUAGAUGAAUUAUAGACAAUUCUACUAGCUUUCUAAAAAGUCUAGGAUCACCUUAUUUGGAUGUCUGAAACUCCAGUUAUGAAUUUUUGAAGUAAGUAAUCGAAUUAUGUCCAAAUCUGGACAGAGUUUAUGUUUAGUUCUGUUUGACCUUUCUAAAGGUCGAAUCUUGUUGUGAUGAUAAUACCAAAGGUGUAGAGGACUUUAUAAGCUUUCCAGAAAGUCCUAGUUUAUCAUUUUAGGAUGAAUAUUUUGUGAGUUAUGAGCUAAACAAAUAGCUGAUGUUUUGCUGUCCAAAAUCAGCAAGUAUUAAAAUGAUUCCUUGGAGUUUCUUUUGUAUGGACACCUAGAUUUAGUUAGUUCUUGUCUUGAUAAAUGAAGUUGGGCGGCUAAUUUUCAGAUUUGCACCUAUUAUGGCUGUAGUGGAUUGAGCUAAUUGUAUUGGCUAAUAUAGUGUAACAAAAAUCAUCAAUGGGUUAUAAGUGUUUGGUUGUGUUGACUGCCUUGGGCAUAUUCUCAAUUAGGUUUAUUGUCUAGAAUGGUGACUGUAGUUGACUGGUUUUGUUUUUAUAGGUAUGAUCAUGUAACUCAAUUUUUUAUAACCCAUUGGUCAUGAUACUUACAACAUAGAACAUUGUUCUUGUGUCCUUAUAAUUAUAAAUAAUGGGUUGUUCAUUAGUGCUAAUAAUAGUGUUAGUCCGUUGGCAGUGUGCUCUAGUCCAUAAGCUUAAGGCUUGUGUGUAGUCUUAUGAUUGCUCGAUGCUUGAGUUAGAUAUACUUAAGUGUAAAAGAUGCGCUUGUGGUACUUAGUAAUAUCUUCACAUAGUGUGCUCAUAGGAAUUGUGAUGACUUGUUUUAAGUAUUUAUCCUCUUUAGUAUAGAUUAUCUAUUUUGUGUUCUUGCUCAUGCUCAUAUGCACUAUGCAUCUCCAAUAGGUACGCUAGAUGAUUAUGUGAAUUGGAGGGCAUGGAUCAGGAUGGAUCACAAGGUGGCUUUGAUGGACCCAUCUCGAUAUGGACGACUUGAUCAAGUGUCAGGAUUGUUGAUGCUCACCAAGCGGACGUCAUAUAACCACACUAACCUAGUGUAUCCCAGGCAAGCCCCGGUGCAUUUGCCACCUCCUUGUUGUUAUAAAACUUUUAUCACUUAUAUGUUGCAUUAGGUGAUAGGAGUUGAGUGAUGAAACAACUGAUGCAUUACCAUUCCUUGGAAUUUGAUUACUAUUCCUUGAUUCCUGUUUAUAAAAGAGAACUAAAGAUGCUUA